GAUGAACGCUGGCGGCGUGCCUAAUACAUGCAAGUCGAGCGAACAGACGAGGAGCUUGCUCCUCUGACGUUAGCGGCGGACGGGUGAGUAACACGUGGAUAACCUACCUAUAAGACUGGGAUAACUUCGGGAAACCGGAGCUAAUACCGGAUAAUAUAUUGAACCGCAUGGUUCAAUAGUGAAAGACGGUUUUGCUGUCACUUAUAGAUGGAUCCGCGCCGCAUUAGCUAGUUGGUAAGGUAACGGCUUACCAAGGCGACGAUGCGUAGCCGACCUGAGAGGGUGAUCGGCCACACUGGAACUUAGACACGGUCCAGACUCCUACGGGAGGGAGCAGUAGGGAAUCUUCCGCAAUGGGCGAAAGCCUGACGGAGCAACGCCGCGUGAGUGAUGAAGGUCUUCGGAUCGUAAAACUCUGUUAUUAGGGAAGAACAAAUGUGUAAGUAACUAUGCACGUCUUGACGGUACCUAAUCAGAAAGCCACGGCUAACUACGUG
rnacentral:rRNA from 1 species